rnacentral:tRNA from 1 species
GGUUCUGGCUCAGCGGUAGAGUGCUUGCCUAGCAUGUGCGAGGAGGCACUGGGUUCAAUCCUCAGCAUCA